rnacentral:rRNA from 1 species
CUUGCCCGCUGGCGGCAUGCUUUACACAUGCAAGUCGAACGGUAACAGGCCGCAAGGUGCUGACGAGUGGCGAACGGGUGAGUAAUGCAUCGGAGCGUGCCCAGUCGUGGGGGAUAACUACUCGAAAGAGUAGCUAAUACCGCAUACGAUCUAUGGAUGAAAGCGGGGGACCGUAAGGCCUCGCGCGAUUGGAGCGGCCGAUGUCAGAUUAGGUAGUUGGUGGGGUAAAGGCUCACCAAGCCAACGAUCUGUAGCUGGUCUGAGAGGACGACCAGCCACACUGGGACUGAGACACGGCCCAGACUCCUACGGGAGGCAGCAGUGGGGAAUUUUGGACAAUGGGCGCAAGCCUGAUCCAGCAAUGCCGCGUGCAGGAAGAAGGCCUUCGGGUUGUAAACUGCUUUUGUACGGAACGAAACGGCUCUGGUUAAUACCCGGGGCUAAUGACGGUACCGUAAGAAUAAGCACCGGCUAACUACGUG